AGCGAACGCUGGCGGCGUGCUUAACACAUGCAAGUCGAACGUGAAAGGGGGGCAACUCCUGAGUAAAGUGGCGUACGGGUGAGUAACGCGUAGGUAAUCUAUCCCAGAGUUUGGAAUAACCUGCCGAAAGGCGGGCUAAUACUGGAUAGAGCGAUGGAAUCCGUAAUUGGGUUUUUCGGGAAAGGGAGCUCGUAAGAGCCUUCGCUUUGGGAUGAGCCUGCGUCUCAUUAGCUAGUUGGUGGGGUAACAGCCUACCAAGGCAUUGAUGAGUAGCUGG
rnacentral:rRNA from 1 species